rnacentral:rRNA from 1 species
AUCGAUUCAAAUUUGCGUGUAUCCCCUUCUGUUCCAU